GACGAACGCUGGCGGCGUGCUUAACACAUGCAAGUCGAACGGAAAGGCCCUGCUUUUGUGGGGUGCUCGAGUGGCGAACGGGUGAGUAACACGUGAGUAACCUGCCCUUGACUUUGGGAUAACUUCAGGAAACUGGGGCUAAUACCGGAUAGGAGCUCCUGCUGCAUGGUGGGGGUUGGAAGUUUCGGCGGUUGGGGAUGGACUCGCGGCUUAUCAGCUUGUUGGUGGGGUAGUGGCUUACCAAGGCUUUGACGGGUAGCCGGCCUGGGAGGGUGACCGGCCACAUUGGGACUGAGAUACGGCCCAGACUCCUACGGGAGGCAGCAGUGGGGAAUAUUGCACAAUGGGCGGAAGCCUGAUGCAGCAACGCCGCGUGCGGGAUGACGGCCUUCGGGUUGUAAACCGCUUUCGCCUGUGACGAAGCGUGAGUGACGGUAAUGGGUAAAGAAGCACCGGCUAACUACGUG
rnacentral:rRNA from 1 species